AUGAAAAUGGCUCCCUCUUUAGUGAGAUUAUACGAGCAAAUGCCUGAACCAAAAUACGUCAUUGCUAUGGGAGCCUAUACUAUUACAUGGGGAAUGUUCAGUAUGGAUUCCUAUAGUACUAUUUGGGGAGUUGAUAAGUUAAUUCCUGUGGAUGUCUACUUGCCGGGCUGCCCACCUAAACCAGAGGCUGUUAUAGAUGCCCUAACAAAACUUCGUAAGAAGAUAUCGCGAGAAAUAGUUGAGGAUCGAACUCUAUCUGAAAAUAAAAGAAGAUGUUUUACUACCAGUCACAAGCUUUAUGUUAGGCGCAGUACUCAUAUAGGAACUUAUGAGCAAGAAUUGCUCUAUCAAUCACCAUCUACAUUAGAUAUAUCUUCUGAAACUUUUUUCAAAUCCAAAAGUUCAGUACCUUCCAACAAAUUAGUGAAUUAG
rnacentral:rRNA from 1 species